AGAAAAUGGGUGUUUUUGUUUUCGGUUUCGUUUGUGAGUGUGGAAGAGGAAGUGGGUUGAUAUCGAGUGAAGUUUGUGUUAAAACCGUCGAUAUGCCCGCAUCGAUCGAUGGCAGUAAUGCCUUGUCGAUCGAUGUCCUCUUUAAAGACAAAUUCUAAUAUCUAAAUUUUCUAAAUAAUUCUAAUAUACGGAAAUUACUAUUAAUUACUAGUAAAUAUAAUUUAUUUGUUUUAAUUAAUGAUUUUUGAAAUUAAAUUAUUAUUAUUUUAUUAUUAUUAUUAUUAUUAUUUUUUUUUUUUGUAAAAAAUGGGUUGCCUCCCAUUCAGCGCUUAAUUUUUAAGUCUUUAGCUCGACUUCCUGAUUAAACUAAUUAUCAGGUUCAUACAACACCAUGGGCACUUUCGCUGGUGGUUUUGCCCAAUAAUGCUUAACUCGUUGGCCAUUCACCGUAAAUUCCUGGCCUUUCUCAUUUUGUAAGGUGAUAGCUCCAGAGGGUUGAACGUUCGGUACGGUGAAGGGUCCAGACCAACGGGAUUUUAGCUUUCCAGGAAAUAAAGUCAAUCGAGAGUUAUAAAGGAGAACUUGAUCAUCUGGCUCGAAGUGCCGGGAUAUGAUCUUUCUAUCGUGAUAAGCUUUAGUCCUUUCUUUAUAGAUUUUUGAAUUUUCGAAAGCUAAAUGUCUGAUUUCAUCAAGCUCGUUAAGCUGGAUGAGUCUCCUUUCUGCAGCUGGUUUGAUAUCAAAGUUCAAAAGUUUGGUAGUCCAAGCUGCUUUAUGUUCCAGUUCGACUGGUAGAUGACAUGAUUUGCCAUAAAGGAGGUGGAAUGGUGUUGUUCCUAACGGUAUUUUGUAGGCGGUCCUGUAGGCCCAAAGUGCAUUAUCUAGUUUCCUA
rnacentral:lncRNA from 1 species